CCUACGGGAGGCAGCAGUGGGGAAUUUUGGACAAUGGGGGCAACCCUGAUCCAGCAAUGCCGCGUGAGUGAAGAAGGCCUUCGGGUUGUAAAGCUCUUUUGUCAGGGAAGAAACAGCAGCUCUAACACAGCUGUGAAUGACGGUACCUGAAGAAUAAGCACCGGCUAACUACGUGCCAGCAGCCGCGGUAAUACGUAGGGUGCAAGCGUUAAUCGGAAUUACUGGGCGUAAAGCGUGCGCAGGCGGUUAUAUAAGACAGGUGUGAAAUCCCCGGGCUUAACCUGGGAAUUGCAUCUGUGACUGUAUAGCUAGAGUGUGUCAGAGGGGGGUAGAAUUCCACGUGUAGCAGUGAAAUGCGUAGAUAUGUGGAGGAAUACCAAUGGCGAAGGCAGCCCCCUGGGAUAACACUGACGCUCAUGCACGAAAGCGUGGGGAGCAAACAGGAUUAGAUACCCUGGUAAGUCCACGCCCUAAACGAUGCUGACUAGUUGUUCGGGAUUUUANCCUUGAGUAACGUAGCUAACGCGUGAAGUCAGCCGCCUGGGGAGUACGGUCGCGAAGAUUAAAACGUUAAGGAAUUGACGG
rnacentral:rRNA from 1 species